rnacentral:lncRNA from 1 species
ACAUGAACUUCGUCGAACAGUGACACCAUCUCGAACUCCAUACUAGCCGUACUCGGGCCUUCUACCAUCUCGAACUCUACAGAAUGAAGCAUAAAAAGAGGGGGAUUUCUACCAUCUCGAAGUCUGUCAGAAAGCCACGAAACCAUCUAGGCUGCCGGAGCAAGCCGAGAACGAUCAUCAUCUAAAGCCAUAGAUCAUCCAAGGACAAUCAACGCCGUUAAUCACGCUCUGAUCAAGUGGCCAUACACCAUCUCGAACUCCAUACUAGCCGUACUCGGGCCCUCUAUUCGUCCCGUCACUUCCAGCCAACACCAUCUCGAACUCUACAAAAUGAAGCAAAAAAAGAGAGAUUUUGAAGUCUGUCAGAAAGCCACAAGACCAUCCAGGCUGCCGGAGCAAGCCAAGAACGAUCAUCUACAGCCAUGGAUCAUCCGAGGACAAUCAAGGCCGUUAAUCACGCUCUGAUCAAGUGGUUAUAAAUCAUCCACCAGACUUGAGUUCUUGUCUCCUUAGUGCUAAAGGACACAGAGGUACGAUCCUAUAGAACAGAUCCUGUUCAAGUAAGGUCGUGCUAUGAAAUAUGAUCCCUGUAGUUUAUAUAGACAAGAGCUGUGUUCCUUUUCAGAGAUGUGGUAUUAAUGCACUGUUAUGUUGCUGCUGUUUUGGGCAUUAUUGUCAAGGCAAGAAUGCUGGAUUUGAAUGAUGGACAUACAUAUACAUUCAGAAGCAGAAUCUGUACAGAAACAAAGGAUUUCAAGCAAGAAGGGUGAUCUAGACCCAAGAAACAAAAAAGGGUUCAUAUGCCAUGUCUCACACGGCUUUCGCCAAAGGUUUUCAUGUUCGAUUGUGGACAAGAGCUGCAUGAUCGUUGUUUUCUCCAAUGUCUAAUCUCUCAUGUACAUGCAGCUCGAAUUCCUCGGUGUUGGAACUAAGCCAUCAUACACAAGUGCAAGAAGCCCUCGAAUUCGGUCUGCUCAAAUCUCUACUAAUACAACAGUGGGCUUGAUUCGAUUUUUCCAACUGUUCAAUUACUCAAACUGCUCGAGUCCAGGACGUCUCAUUUGCCCCCCAAAUAGGAGAAUACACAUGAAAGAGCGUCAAUUUCGUUAAUUUUUAUAGACCGAAUACUCAUAUGAACGUUCGAACUAACUUGAAAGUCCUCGAUACACAAGUGAAAAGAGCUCGAAUUGGUUGGCUUCAAAAGCCUCUUUUUGAACGAUGUGGUCUUUAAUGCGCUGUUCUGCUACAAACAAAACGUGGGCUUCGACUGUCAACAAAACAAGAGGUAGUAGUAUGACCUGCAAACGACAGAAUCUAGAACCUUAAGUAAAUGUUUCCAAACCUGACUGACCUAGAACUUGGCAAGUAACUUACUUAGACCCUUAACCAGAUACAAAACCAUAUUGAAGAUUGACUUUUCGAGGUUCGGGCAGAAUGAGUUGUUACAACUUACAACAACAUAUAACAGGUAAGUCACGAUUCAUUUUUAGCAGUGCUCGGCGCAGAAAUUUAACAGCGCUAUAAGUGGAUUAAUGACCAAGAGUGAUUAGCAAUAGCACCUGACCGAGGAAGAAAAGAGGUUCAAAUAGUGGUGAGUUAAGUUACUCGGAGCAAAAUCGUCAAACAAGCCAAAAACAGUUCAAGACAAGAAAAUGGUUAUUGGUGUACAUGGUAGUAAAUUCGUAAAAGUGUGAAUAUCCGUAGAACGCAUCCAAAAUAGACUUAUAGAUACCCUUUCCACCCAUUCAAAACAAAAAUGAAUACGAUAAUAAAUUCAUAACAAGUGUAAACGCCCGUUACAGUGUCACGAGCCUUAGUGUGUCCCCUGAAUCUCCACCCUGUAUUUCUCUACAUGGGAGGUAAUUUAAUAACCACAGUUAUGAAACACUAUCUUUCCUUAACCACCCUCCAUUGUCCAUGUUUGAGUUAGAAAGACUCCAAAGGUGACGGACAUAUUACGACAUUUCCUUCUACUUCGAUCUUUAAUACCAACGCCGUUCGAGCUUUUUUCCUACGGCCUCCAUCUUUUGAGUUACCAUCGUUGAAAUAUACAUUAAGGAUUGCGAUUUCUUCCUCAAGCUGCUUCUAUGAUUCUCAGUUCUCACUCAUUCACAGCCAUUAUCAUAUAGCAAUUUGUUCGACUCAGCUGGGUAGACCUCUCAACAGAAGCUAAAAAAUUUAACCAGAUUCAGAAACUAUCUAGAACGUUAGCUAAGACAGCACAUUGAACUGAGAAAUUUGGUAGGGGCCGCGCAAACGCAGGCUGCCACAGGAACAAAUUAUGAUGUAGGCUCUCCUACUUUGAGGAGAGGUUAGAGUGGCACCCCUCCGGUAUGUGCAAUGGAGGUCACCACUCUGGGCCAUGACUCUUAUUAAUCAGCCAUUGACCCCGUCCAGGUAACUAUGUUUCAACGUUGCUAUUCCUUUCUGUAUCCAAUCUGUGUUCCUUUAGCCAAUGUGGCAUUUUUGAACAAGAAUAACAGGAAUGCGAUCUUUUGGUUGUUGAGCAUCAAAGAUUUUAUACGUUUAGGCUUUUAACAUGUUUGAUUGUUACUUUAAGUAUAUCGUUCAGACUUCAGUAAGCUCUACUAUGCCUUCCCUCUAAGUCUUGAGCACGUUUCUUGUAAUGCAGAGAGCCAAAUGAAGAUUUUUGGCAAACAAUGUUGAUAAUUAUCAGCGACCAGAGAUCAUGCUUAAUGAAUGUGAUCUCUGAUUCUAUAAUGCAGCCUUAGAAUCCAUUCUUACGGAGUAGUUGUCGGGACGAAAAGCCGAUGCGGAUUAGAGAUUAGGCGUCAACUUGGGAUGAGGAGAUGAAUUUAACCAGCUAGCAGAAAGUUUUAUGUGAGAAGAGAGACGGGAUCUAGCACCUUAGAGGGAACCAAGCCUGCAGUAAAUGCAGCAAAAAAGGGGUUAAAUCUGUCAGACAUCAUACAUGGCCAUCCGAGCUAACGAUGUCAACUCAGAAUGAUCAUCUACGGUCUGAAUGAUCCAAAGACCAUCGAAGCCGUUAAAUAUAGUUUCAAAUGGAAGAUUUUUGGCAGUUACGUAGACCAAGAUGUUUCCUCAGGGUUUAUGCAUGCAGGUUUGGAGUGCAUCUGAAUGCUAGCUCCAAAUAUGGAUUUCUGCAGGUUGGAGCUUAAUUUCCUUGAAAUGGAAGAAGCUGAAAAGAAGUAAAAAUAGAAAGGUCUGGGACUCUAAAGAUCGUUGGUGAAAUAGGGUACAAAGACUGAACUCAAGCCUGGGUUUUGAAAUUUGAACUUAGAGAUUGUGGUGCUGAUCCAGUUAACGAACAAAACCUCCAGUAACAAGGCUCGGUUUUCAUAUCGAAUAUCUGAAUUGAUACAAGAGUUCACUGAAAGUCUGAAACUCAAAAACAGUGCACAAUUGCAAGGCUAGCUGAUGCGCGAAAACAGGUCCAGCAAUGUCAGCCAGAACUCGUCAAAACAUUUAGACUACCAGAUUGUGGGGCGGAUCCAGUUAAGGAACAAACCAUCUAAAAAUAGAUGAAUGCCUCUUAAAAGCAGAGCACGAAAGAAUAGUUCGCUAUGUACUCACUGCGAGGCUGAUUGAGAAACAUGCCUUUUAUGCUUUUAACUUGAAGGCUGGGAUGUCAUCAAAUCACCAAGGAUGGAACAUUAUCAGUCAUCGAAGUUGAAUUUCUGCAUUUGCAAAAGAACCACUGUAGUCAGGUCACCAGUUGAUGUGAUUAUUGUUUACAUAUUUAUUAAUGUGUUCGAGUUCAGUAGACGGAAGAGUAAGUAGGUAAACAAUUGAAAAUUGAAAAGUUUACAACUGGGGGAAUUGUAGGGCUUUACCCAGGAGGGAGCCCUUCCAGAAAUUCUCGAAGGCCACAGACAAGCCGCGGCCUAGGAGGGGGUUUGGAAAUAGUUUUCAACCAGCAAUAGACGCGCCUCGGUUGUUACCUCAUUAGCUGCGUCAUUGCCCCAAGCGCAAAGAUGCUUUCCUCUGACUGCUGAACCUUGAUUUUAUACACCUGCUUCCUUACUCUCGCAUGAGUUUCCCAGAUGUGGUAUAUCUAUCUGGAGCCCAAUAGGUUACUCCCAUUGCAGGCAAAAGAAAGGAAAAUCGUUCUACACUACAUUUGACAAUAUAACGUUAGUAGUCCAGUUGUAAGGUAUAGUCUUAUGCAGAGCCCAUCCAGAACAAAUUUACAUAUACUAUUUGCACCCAUUCAAACCAAAACGAAUAUGGUAAUAACUUCAUUGUAACAAGUGUGAACGCCCGUUACAGUGUCACGAGCCUCACGCUUGUCGUCCCCGAAUCUCCACCUCGAAUCUGUCUAAUUCAAAGAUUACAAUUAUGAAACACUGUCUUUCAUUAACCACCCUCCCUUCCCCCUUUCUUCUCUGUCCAUUUUCGGGCAAGAAAGACUCCAAAGAUUACAAACAAAUUACGAUAUUUUCCAGCUACGUUGAUCUUUAAUACCAACGCCAUUCGAGCUUUCGUCCUACUUCCUCCUUUUGGAAGAGAUAUGUUCGAUACAUACUAUAUAAUAAGACAAUGUUAUCAUCACCACCACCAACUUUCGAGCUUAAUCCGGUUACCGUCGUGGAAAUGUACAUGAACCCGUUCAACGAAAAAUGAACAUCAGAUUUAAUUUCUUCCUCGAGCUGUGCCUAUGAUUCUGGCUUCUUAGCCACCUGCAACAACUUCUUCACCUCACCUGGGUAGACCUCGAACCCUAAGUCAUGACUCCAAUGCACAUACAAAAGAGAUCAAAGUGUUACAAGAUCAAAACUAGCUCUAAGUUCUGUGAAGACUACAAUAUUGAACUGAAAAAUUGGGUAGGGGCCGCGCGAACGCAGGCCCCCGCUGCAACAAAUUAUGACGUAGGCUCUCCUACUUUGAGGAGACCUUAGAGUGGCACCCUUCCAGUAUGUGCAAUGGAGGUCACCACUCUAGGCCAUGACUCUUUAUGAUCAGCCAUUGACCCCGUCCAGGUAAGUAUGUUUCAACGUUGCUUUGCCUUAUGUCUUUAUACCCAGGACGACUCCAUUCUGUGCACUAGCUGCCAGUGCGGUAUAUUGUUCUAAUGCAUAUUCUAAGCUUCAGUUCUGUAAGCUUCUGUUAUGUCUUGUCUCUAAGUCUUAACACAUUUUCUUCUAAUGCAGAUUGUCAUCCUUGGCUGAGAAACACAAACAGUACCUAGCGCUCACAUUGAAAUCGAAGAGCCAAGUCAAGAAUUUGGGCAAACAAUGUUGAUGCACAGCGUGAAGAAAAAUAGCAAGCAGCCGUCAUGCUUAAUGAAUGUGAUCUCUGAUUCUAUGCUGCAGCCUUAGAAUCCAUUCUUACGGAGUAGUUAUUGGGAUUGGAGAUCAGGCAUCAACUUGGGAUGAGGAUUACAAACAGCGGAAUAGAACCAGCUAGCUGCAGAAACGUUUAUGUGAGAAGAGAGACGGAAUCUCGCACCUUAAUGAAGGUACGAUAAUGUUUUCACCACCAACAAGAUUCGAGCUAGUCGUCGUGGAAAUAGGACUUUCAUACAUGAAUCUGUUCAAGGGACAAAAAAAAUCAGAAUGCAGUUUCUUCCCUUUAUCCUGCUUAAAAUAAGUAUGAUUCUCUCCAGUUGACACCCAGCUUCUGCAACAAUUUCUUCAAACUCAACUGGUACAGCUCUCAUGGCUUUUUAACCAUGUAGUUGCUAUCUGUUUGUUUGUUUGCUUGUUUGUGCGGAAGUGUGUGUUCAACUUUCAGAUAGCUGUCCCUCAUCUAGACGAGUUAACACUUCCACGGAUUGGUUCAUCGUAGGACCAUGUACGAGCUACAAACUUGGAAAUAAGCUCAAUCGUACACUAACCUGUUACAUGACAGAAGAAUAUCAGAUGGAAGCAAUGCUAUGACGAAACUUCAUGAUACUCAGCCUCCGGUUCGUGACAUGAAGUAAAACAUUAAUUAGCCACAACAAGACCAUCCAGGCUGCCGAAGCAAGCCAAGAACAAUCAUAUACAACUGUGAUCAUCCAAAGACAACAAAGGCCAUUAAUCACGCUCUGAUCGAAUGGUCACAUUUCAUCCAUCAAACUCGAGUUCCUGUCUCCUUAGUACUAAAAGGACACAGAGGUACAAUCCUAUAGAAC